GGAUGAUGAUUCCACCACUUCCCUGGGCAGCCUGUUCCAGGAUCCUGGCCCGGGUGGGGACAGCCAAAGGACUCCUUGAGGUUUCAGCUGAGUGCCAGGAUGCUCAUGCCACCAGAAAAGGCAGACCAGCUAUCCUGCCACCUAAACAAAAAAGCUCAGCACAAAAAGCUUCAAUAAGACUGCAUUCAUCUGAGCAUCCCAAACUAGUCAUUGCAUGCCAGUAGUCACCUGGAAAAGUCUACCUGGUCCCAGCUCCCAAGCAGAUCUCCAAGCAAGGUGAAAAUGUGUUCUGUUUCCUCCUUGUCCCAAGUUUGUUCAGGCAGGAUCCUCAGAACUGACAGGAUGUCUUGUGAAUACAAAUAAGAUUUCAGCAUGCUUUCUCAGUUAUUCUGUAAAUGCCAGGAAAGUUUUGUGAUUAUCAAGAGAUACCUAGUGGGGUCAAAAUUCUGCCCAGAGUUUUGUGUGUUCUUUGGCUGACAAAAA